rnacentral:rRNA from 1 species
AUUGAACGCUGGCGGCAGGCCUAACACAUGCAAGUCGAACGGUAGCACAGAGAGCUUGCUCUCGGGUGACGAGUGGCGGACGGGUGAGUAAUGUCUGGGAAACUGCCCGAUGGAGGGGGAUAACUACUGGAAACGGUAGCUAAUACCGCAUAAUGUCGCAAGACCAAAGAGGGGGACCUUCGGGCCUCUUGCCAUCGGAUGUGCCCAGAUGGGAUUAGCUUGUUGGUGAGGUAAUGGCUCACCAAGGCGACGAUCCCUAGCUGGUCUGAGAGGAUGACCAGCCACACUGUAACUGAGACACGGUCCAGACUCCUACGGGGGGCAGCAGUGGGGAAUAUUGCACAAUGGGCGGAAGACUGAUGCAGCCAUGCCGCGUGAGUGAAGAAGGCCUUCGGGUUGUAAAGCACUUUCAGCGGGGAGGAAGGCAAUGCGGUUAAUAACCGUGUUGAUUGACGUUACCCGCAGAAGAAGCACCGGCUAACUCCGUGCCAGCCGCCGCGGUAA